ACAUAACUGAUGCCUCCGCGUAUCGACUUUGUGCGCAUUUUAGCUAUUAUGUGUUCUUUUAAUUAAAAUGAUUCUUUUUAAGAUUCAUCUAUUAAAAAUUUGCUUCGGCACAAUUUUUUUUGAUGAUCUUGUUACUUUGAGUAAAUUAGAGUGUUCAAAGCAAACAGAUAUAGCAUUUGUGCGUUUGAAUACUACAGCAUGGAAUAACAAAAUUGAACAAGUCAGAAUUUUUUUGUUCUUUUUUCUUAUUUUGGCUUAGUUACGAUUAAUAGGAGUAGCUUGGGGGCAUUUGUAUUCAGAUGUCAGAGGUGAAAUUCUUAGAUUUUCUGGAGACAAACAACUGCGAAAGCAUUUGCCUAAAAUACUUCCAUUAAUCAAGAACGAAAGUUAAGGGAGUGAAGACGAUCAGAUACCGUCGUAAUCUUAACCAUAAACUAUGCCGACUAGGCUUUGGAUGAAAGAUUUUAAAAUAAGAGUUUUUCUUUUCUCUCCGGAGAUUAGAACUCUUAGAUUGCUUCCUUCAGUGCCUUAUGAGAAAUCAAAGUCUUUGGGUUCUGGGGCGAGUAUUCGCGCAAGCGAGAAAGUUAAAAGAAUUGACGGAAGGGCACCACCAGGCGUGGAGCUUGCGGCUUAAUUUGACUCAACACGGGAAAACUCACUAGUUUAAGACAAGAGUAGGAUUGACAGAUUAAUAGCUCUUUCUUGAUUUCUUGGAUGGUGAUGCAUGGCCGUUUUUAGUUCGUGAAUAUGAUUUGUCUGGUUAAUUCCGAUAACGAACGAGAUCUUAACCUGCUAAUUAGCGGCAAAUACGAUAUAUUCUUAUGUAGAAUUGAAUAUAGUGGAUUUGUUGGAUUUUGAAGAAAAUAUUGGAAUUACGUUAAAUGUGAUUCCUUUCCCUUUUCUACUUAAUUUACAUUUCCAUCUAUUUCUUUUUUGCGUAUGAAUGUAUUUGCUUGAUUGUAAAGCUUCUUAGAGGAACGAUGUGUG
rnacentral:rRNA from 1 species